CAGGGAAUUUGUGUCUGGACUAAUGGGAUUAUGUGUCACACUAAGGGGAGGAGAUGUGUGGGAGGUAACUGGUACAUUAUUGGCUGGGGUACUAAUUGUUGUGGAUCCCUCCCUUGCAUGGGAGAAUGUCUUAAAAGGAGGUUGUGUGAAUAAAUCUUGAGAUUCUGCUUAACCCUCAAAACGAAGUGUCGUCUCGUUAUUGGGGGAAUUGGAUUGUAUGC